CCAUACAGGGUACACUCGGUCAUGGAAAACCUGGAAAAGUUUUGGAAACUAGCCUUAAUUUUUGUUUCCCGCUUCGUUCCGCAACGCUCUAACGGAAAUGUGCAAGCGGAAGUCAGUAGUUGCGUACCUUGGUAAACAUCCGCUUCCGGCACUUUUACCGCGCAGAUUUCGCGUGUUUGAGAUCGCUGCUUUUUUGCUCGCCAUGCCAUUGUUUUAUUUAUUUUGCACCUAUUUGCAUUUUAUUGAUCACUCCGUUGCCUCUACCAAUCAUAAGGUACGUAUAAUUAUUUUAAUAUUGGGAUUAAUUUUCUUAAUUGAACGUUAUUUGCACAUUGGCGAAAGUUGUCCACCGUCUGUGUUUAUUUGGUAAGUAGAUUGGCUGUUAUCGUACCGAAAAUUGUAAUAUUAUUAUCUGAAACUGCAUGAUCAUCAAAUCAAAACAAACCUGUGGGUUUUGGAAAAUUCUUGUGGUACUGGAAAAGCCAUGGAAAUUUAUUCUGCCAGAAUUGGGGGAACCCUGUCUAUACCAUUUUUUAACACAACAAUGACAUCUCUCUCCUACCGAAUGUUUUUUUUUUUUUUCCCCAGCUGCUGGCUAGUACAUAACAGUGGAUCCCACCAAGAUCCAUUCCUAUAGCUGUAAUCAACAGCAAACAUCUUUUAGUUCAAUCUGGCGUUUUUGUUUUCUUGCUUCUCUCUGCCUGCAUGCACUGUACUGUAAAGCCUGCAGUUGAUUCCUCCUCAGUCAGCACCUCUACUUUGGCCAGGAGCAGCAUGGACCACGGCAGCUGUAUCCACACUAAUACUGUGGUUGCUGAGGCUCGAACCCAGCUGAGUAACCCUGCUAUCAGCUACCCACAUCCAGCAAUCCCUCACAGGGCUUGGACAGGAUCAGAUCCAGAAGAAACAUCAGGCAAGCUCACGAGAUGCAGGCCAUCAUCUGUGGCUACAGUCUACACGUAAUCCUUCUUCAGAGCUAUAGAACUGUUCAUUAAUGACCUUAUCACUACUUCCUCUGAGUCUGCUUGUCUCUCAUGUUCUCCACAUUGACUGAAGCUCCUCCCAUACUGGGAGCACUGGUAGGGCAUCUUGCUUGUAUGAGUUCAUUGGUGUCGCAUCAGUUCUGAUGAUUGACCAAACGUCUUCCUGCACGCUAAGCAAUGGUGUGGUCUCACCCAUGUAUGAAUCCACUGGUACGUCUUUAGGACUCACUUCACUGAAUCUCUUCCCACACUGGGAACUUUAAUGUGUCUAACUCAAUUAAUUGGCAAAAACUCUGCCUUUGCACACUCUAAGCAAUGGCAAUGCCUCUCCUCUGUGUGAAUCCGCUGGUGGAUCUGUAGGUGACUGACAUGAAUAAAACUCUUCCCACAGUGAGAGCACUGGUAGGGCCUCUCCCCUGUGUGAAUCCGCUGGUGGAUCUGUAGGUGACUGACAUGAAUAAAACUCUUCCCAAAGUGAGAGCACUGGUAGGGCCUCUCCCCUGUGUGAAUCCACUGGUGGAUCUUAAGAGCUCCUACUUGGCUGAUCUUCUUACAGUAGGAACGUAGGUGCUGCUUUAGUUUCUCUAAAACGUUUAAGCCCACUGGGAAAAUUUUCUUGUUUGUGUGAAUUUCCAGCUCUUCCAACACUGGGAGCACUGGUAGGGUCUCCUGUGUGAGUUUGUUGGUGUGUCUUUAGUGGUACCACAUUCCGAAGUGGUAAGGCUUUUCGCCUGUGUGACUUUAAUGUCUGUAACUCAUCUGAUUUUAUCCCCCCCCCCCUGCAAAUUUAAUACGCCUGCUUUUCAAACUAUGUUAAGGGUCCUGAAACCGCUUGGGCCAGUACCGAAUAUCAGCAUCGAGAUACCAAUCUUAGUAUUAUUUGCUACCGGAUUAAAAGGGAAAUACGUGAUAUUGCCGUCCUUAAUACUCACCAUGCAUCACUCUGCUGCAGUAAUGACUGUUAUGAUGUACCAUGCUAUAUGUUUACACCACGGUGCUAUGCCUGCUGGCCCUCUGCUUGGCCACGCCCCAAUUCUGCCGAAUGUAUUUAUGUUGUACGGAAUUGUAUGUUUUUGUAGGAGUGCCAUAGAAAAACUGUCUGUAAAAGAAUAUGGAAAUUAAUGAAUUCAUAUAAAAAUGAAUAAGAAUUA